UACAGAGGGUGCGAGCGUUGUCCGGAAUCACUGGGCGUAAAGGGCGCGUAGGCGGCCUGAUAAGUAGGGGGUGAAAUCCUGUGGCUUAACUGCAGGGCUGCCUCCUAGACUGUUAGGCUCGAGCACGGUAGAGGCAGAUGGAAUUCCCGGUGUAGCGGUGGAAUGCGUAGAGAUCCGGAGGAACCCCAGAGGCGAAGGCGGCGCCCUGGCUCGCAACUGACGCUCAGACACGACAGCAUGGGGAGCGAACGGG
rnacentral:rRNA from 1 species